GAAAAAAAGAAAAAAAAAAAAAGGAAAACACCAUCUUGGCAUCAUUGUAGAUAUAUCACUGAAAACAUCUGCUCAGUAGAGAGCACUGGUCAAAAGAGGAAAUGAAUUUCUUCUCCAACCCAAAUGGUCAGUGAAUCCCCUGCGGUGUUGGGAUGGAUAGUGUUUGUAGGGCCAAGUUUUUAUCAGAGUAUGCAUGCUUGGACACAGCUCACUGACAAUCAAUGACAAGAGCUUGCUGCUUGAAGCAGUUGCUUUUCCUUUACACUUCAGUGUCUGUUGCAAGAGUAGCUCAUAGUGUUACGUGACUGAAAGUCUCAAAGCUUCCAUGCGGAAAAAGAUGAUGAUGGAAAUCCAGGAUGACUUGAAAAUAAACAGAAAACAACGCCCUGUCCUUAGCAUGAUGAUAGAUACAACAGCUCCUUUGUUCUCGAGACCAAACAGGUUUUCUUAGGGAAACUGAGGUGUGUGAAAUGACCUUGAUGUACUGCACCAGCUUCACACUCAAUCAGUGGAGAAAAAAUAAAAAUAAAAAAAAAUAGUGUGAAUGUGUCAGAUAAAGAUGUUCCAAUCUGCUUUAAUUCUGACUCCAGUUACCCAGAAACUGUCUAUCCAGUUGUAUGUGAAAACCUGGAGUAACGGCUAUUGAGCCAAAUUUCAUCAUCUGCCAGGCUGCUCAGGCCAAGAGGCAGCAGGAAGCUGUUGACAAUGGAGAGAGGCCCCAAGACAGGCCAUAAUAGCACAAGCCAAGUGCUAGGAAUUUAGCAGCUGAGAGAAGAUGAGCAACAAGACAAAAAUGUUAUCCUGGCAAGGAAGUGCUCAAGGAUGUAAUUAACAAUGGCUAAGCAUGAAUUUCCUUCAUUUUUCGGUCCUGAGCCAAGUCUUUACUCUUUGAAGAUGUCAUUAAAACCACCUCAAAGUCUCUCUGCCUCACACUGUUAUUUUCAGGAAUUGCUUAAAGAGAGAGUGCUGUGACAAACAUGAAGAGAGCAACUGCUGCCCAGAGAACGGAAGUGGGUUACAGCUCGGAGGCA
rnacentral:lncRNA from 1 species